AUGAUGAAGAGCCGUAAUGUCAAUGUUUGUGUUUUCUCUGUGUUUGUGAAUGUGUUGUGUUUGUCUCCUGCAGCUGGUCCCACAGUGAAGCCCUCAGUGUCUCUGCUGCCGCCCUCUUCUCUGCAGAUCUCUGGAGACUCAGCCGCACUGCUCUGCCUGCUCAGCUCUUACUCUCCACAGGGGGCGCUGGUGAGCUGGACACUGGACGGCUCAGAGGUCACCGAGGGGGUUGUGACCAGCGCAGAGAGCGAGCAGGACGGCCGCUACAGCCGCAGUAGUGUCCUGACCCUCAGCAAAGCACGCUGGGAAGCGGGAGAGCAGUACGUCUGCAGAGUAACACAUGAUGGAGCUCCUCAUGAGGCCUCGUUCCACAAGAGUCGCUGUUAGUCGCUCGCAGUGCUGAUGUUUCUCCAGUGAGCGCUGCUCUCUCCUGAAGA